AACAAGAAUGAUCCAGGAAUUACUUUUCUCUUUCUCCUUUGGGAAGCAGCAAUGAAGUGCAACAAAUAUUUGGGAUCCCACGUUUUACGUUAAUUACAUAUAUUGGUUUCAUAAGAGGAAUGAGAAAUAGCAAUGUUGUUCCAGUGGAUCAGCUUAGUUUUUUUUUGUGUGUAAAUUCAAGCACGGAGGUUGGUUUUAUUUUGUCGUGUUAUUGAAUUCGGACUUUCUUCGAAGAAAAGUAAGGUGGAAGAGGAUCAUUUCUAGGCAUAUAAGGUUUAUCAUAUUAAAUGUGGAAGUUCUUGGCUGAACUGAGCUCUUGAACGAAGUAAGGUACAGACGACAGGUUUGAUGAUCCGCCCGCUUAGGACUUUAUUCUGCUAUUUUGGAGCGCUCCUUUAUCCGGAGCCUAUAUUUUGGUACAGUCUUCUGCUAUUUUAUAUAUGUACGCUAUUCAGGGGUACGACGGGGCCCUGUCCCAUCUUAUGAUUCUGUUAUGUUCUGUAGAGGUCUGUAGACAUAAUUGUGUGGGUUCUGUAUAUGUUUUGGGUUGAUAUGAUCUGUGAUAGCCUUAUCGGCUUCCA